CAACUUUUCUUCUUUCUUCUUUUUUCGCAAUUCUAUCUUUCUUACGCUGACGAUGCGAUGGGCAUUGUCAUUGCCAUUGCACCGUAAAUUGGAUUGACUUUCGUGAGAAAACGAUCGUGGAGAUUUCAGUUUCCGGAGAAUGAAUGUAAAAAACAAGAUAAGCGUACGGUCUGAUGAGAAAUACGAAGAUAUAGUAGAAAACGAAGGAAUGUCUCAACAGUUUUGUACUUGAUCUAAAUAUUUGGCUUCUAAAUAUGCUGCCUAUACGACGCCCAAGAAAAUCGAACCAGACGAAUAGCUCAAAAGCAACGUAAUAUUUUUGCACUCGUCGAAUGAGAACGUGGGCCAGAUAGAUCAUCUUUAUUUAUACGUAAAUUAAAAAUGGAAACAUAACAUGAGAUCGCGAUGACCAGCAUCGAUCCUUUUCAAGGAUCCUAGACGCACUAUGCCCGUUCACAAUGAAAGAAGAAAAGCAGGUUUUGACGUAUGAACGUUUCGUUAUGCCAAUUAGACAACGUGUUAUCUCACGAUUAUC